UACAGGAGAAGCACAAGUGUCUGUUGAUUU
rnacentral:piRNA from 1 species